rnacentral:rRNA from 1 species
GACGAACGCUGGCGGCGUGCCUAAUACAUGCAAGUAGAACGCACAGUUUAUACCGUAGCUUGCUACACCAUAGACUGUGAGUUGCGAACGGGUGAGUAACGCGUAGGUAACCUGCCUGGUAGCGGGGGAUAACUAUUGGAAACGAUAGCUAAUACCGCAUAAUAUUGAUUAUUGCAUGAUAAUUGAUUGAAAGAUGCUAUUGCAUCACUACCAGAUGGACCUGCGUUGUAUUAGCUAGUAGGUGAGGUAACGGCUCACCUAGGCGACGAUACAUAGCCGACCUGAGAGGGUGAUCGGCCACACUGGGAAUGAGACACGGCCCAGACUCCUACGGGAGGCAGCAGUAGGGAAUCUUCGGCAAUGGACGAAAGUCUGACCGAGCAACGCCGCGGGAGUGAAGAAGGUUGUCGGAUCGUAAAGCUCUGUUGUAAGAGAAGAACGGGUGUGAGAGUGGAAAGUUCACACUGUGACGGUAGCUUACCAGAAAGGGACGGCUAACUACGUG